rnacentral:rRNA from 1 species
CCUACGGGACGCAGCAGUGGGGAAUAUUGCACAAUGGGGGAAACCCUGAUGCAGCAACGCCGCGUGAGUGAGGAAGUAUUUCGGUAUGUAAAGCUCUAUCAGCAGGGAAUAGAAAAGAAGGUACCCGAAAAAGAAGCCCCGGCUAACUACGUGCCAGCAGCCGCGGUAAUACGUAGGGGGCAAGUGUUAUCCGGAUUUACUGGGUGUAAAGGGAGCGUAGACGGAAAGGCAAGUCAGAAGUGAAAGCCCAAGGCUCAACCAU